rnacentral:rRNA from 1 species
GACGAACGCUGGCGGCGUGCUUAACACAUGCAAGUCGAACGGAAAGGCCCUGCUUUUGUGGGGUGCUCGAGUGGCGAACGGGUGAGUAACACGUGAGUAACCUGCCCUUGACUUUGGGAUAACUUCAGUAAACUGGGGCUAAUACCGGAUAGGAGCUCCUGCUGCAUGGUGGGGGUUGGAAAGUUUCGGCGGUUGGGGAUGGGCUCGCGGCUUAUCAGCUUGUUGGUGGGGUAGUGGCUUACCAAGGCGUUGACGGGUAGCCGGCCUGAGAGGGUGACCGGCAACAUUGGGACUGAGAUACGGCCCAGACUCCUACGGGAGGAAGCAGUGGGGAAGAUUGCACAAUGGGCGGAAGACUGAUGCAGCAACGACGCGUGCGGGAUGAAGGACUUCGGGGUGUAAACCGCUGUCGCCUGUGACGAAGAGUGAGUGACGGUAAUGGGUAAAGAAGCACCGGCUAACUACGUG